AGCCACAGCUGCAACCUCCGUCACAGCUGGAGCUGCACUGGAUCCUUUAAUCCACUGCACAGGGCUGGGGGUUGUACCUGUGGCUCCACAGUGACCCGAGCUGCUGCAGUCUGAUGCUUAACCCACGGCCCCACAGCAGGAACUCCAAGAAAGUGCUUGAAGAGUGAGUGGAGCGUUGGAAGAUGGCAUGCUUCCUGCAGAAUCGCAAGAGGACUGUGAGAGAAAUCAGAUGUGAUUCUCCACCAGGGGAUAGGAAGGGCUUUCUAGGAGGAGGGACCAGGUGACACAGAUAUGGCGGGAGGAGAAGAAACCAGAAGUCUGGUUUCUUAGGAGAACAGUGAGUAAUGGGUGGGUUCAGGGAACACUGAGAAUGGGUGGCAGACAGGCAGGCGUAGCAUGGUGGCUUUGAAGGAGGUGGUGGAGAGAGAGGGAAAGAGAGAGACUGCCCGAUGAAGGAAUUAGAACACAGACGACGGUAGGGACGGAGGGUCUGGAAGCACCAUCUCCAUUGCAGUAGCAGGGUCCCCUGGGAGUAGCUGUAACUCAGAGGAGGCUGGGGACAAUUCAGCCUAACAGAGGAUGUGGAGCAAUCUGUUCACUGCAGCUCAGAGUUUCAGGGGACACAGAGAAAGUAGGGGGGAAAUAGAAGACAGGCAGGGAUGAGUGGGGGUUUGGGGUAGGAGGAAGCAACUCUAAAACUGGACAGUGAUGACACUGAGAAAGGGGAUGGAGUAGGUGGUCCCCGAGCCUGGGAUUCGGGUUCUAAAGACAGUUAAUGGAAAGGAAAUACAGAAGCAGACGUACCCUUUUGAGUUAUACAAAUCAUCUGUAAAAUACAGAAUGUCCCUAGGGUCUUGAAUUCAUCCGCUGCACAGGAAGUAGCCGUCAUGUGUCUCAGCGGCAUAUUGUGUGUAUUUUGAAGGGCACCUCCCACGUGACAGGACAAGGUGACCAUUCCUGAAGGAUGAGUUGCGAGAGUGAUGGCAAGAACCAUCUCCCAUCUGGGAUUCCUUUGGGGGUGUGGGGGCAGCAGCUGCCAGCACCCCCCUGCUUUGUUUCAUGCUUGUUACUGAGAACAGGGAGUUUAGUUUGUCUGCUGGAGAGAUGGUGUGACUUGGCUGCAUUUGUUCUCUUUAAGUAGUAUUUCUGGAGGGACUGGGGGCUUUAUCUUUGUGAUAAAGCCAGUGCACAUGAUCCUUUCUGUGUGUGUGUGUGUGUGUGUGUGUGUGUCUAUGUGGCAGAUACUUUCUGUCAAUGAUCUUCAGAAUGACUUUUAAAUCAUUUAAAAUGGUGUGUUAUAGAGUUCGUUCUGUGACACACUGGGUUAAGAAUCCAGCUGCAGUGGCUCAGGUUCGAUCCCCAGCCCAUGCAGUGGGUUCAGGGAUCUGGUGUUGCUGCAGCCGCGGCUUGGAUUCAGUCCCCUGCCCAGGAACGUCCUUAUGCUGCAGGUGUGGCCAUAAAAAAAAAUAGAUAGAAAAAUAGAUAGAUUAAUUAAUUUUAAAAUGGUACUUUAAGGGAGUUCCCUGGUGGUCUAGUGGUUAGGAUUUGGAGCUUUCACCACUGUGGUCCAGGAUCAGUCCCUGAUCUGGAAACUGAGAUCCCACGUCAAGCUGCUACAUGCCGUGACCUAAAUAAAAUAAAGUAAAAGAAAAUAAAAUGCAAUAAAAUGAUACUUCAAGCAUUAAACAGAGCUUAUUACUCUUUGUUGGAGCUUAAGUAGCAUUGAAACGUCUCACAUGCCUUCGCAUCCAGGAAGCAUUUCUUCAGUGUCUUCUUGGUGCAUAACUAUGUUUUGGUGCAUCAUUCAAAACCAUGCUGGACACUGAAGGUCAUCGGGAUUCAUCAGACAGAGGUCACAUCCUUGGGGGUCUGAUUGACCACAGAGUCCCUACUUUUCAGUUCCUUUGAUUUUUAUGUAUUUCAUCAGGGUAAUAAGAUAAGGUCACAAAAAGGAGUGAUGGGGGUCCAGGGGUCUUUCCCCCUUUUCUUGUCCCAUUUAGUAUGGACGAUAGGAACACCUUUGGCUGAAGGUGAGAAUAUUGGAGCGUGCAUAUAUGCUUUACCUGUAAGGGGUAGCGGAGAUUCAGGUUAGAAAUCUGAAUCCGCCUUUCUGCUUAAACUGCAUGCUGUUUCUGAAGUUGGUAAGGACCGGCCUUGGUGUUGCCAUGGGGAUGAAGACGUGCAAGGACCCACCAUUAGACAAUCUGUUUGAAACUCUGAGAACCUUCGAGCCACAGGGAAGUGGUGCUGGGUAGGGCUGGUAACAGUGCCCUGGCCACUCGACUCCUUGGGUGUUUGAGCUACCAAACCCAGCAGGAAGAGGGUGCGAGGCAAAGACCAAAGUACAGAGCAGCAGCUAGCUCAUCACUGUGCCUUCUUAGAGGGACUGAGAAAGAGACCUUCUGGCAUCUAUUGGUGUCAGAGAGACAUGCACAUAAACAAAUUGUAAUUUUCUAGGCCUUUAUUUAUUUUUGGUCAUUUUUAAAUUAGAGUCGAUCUACAGUGUUGUGCCAAUUUCUGAAGUUCCUGCUGUGGUGCAGUGGAAUUGGUGAUGUUUCUGCCAUGCCAGGAUGCAGGUUGGAUCCCUGGCCUGGCUUAUUAGGUUAAAGGAUCUGGCAUGCAGUCCAGCUGAGGCUUGGAACUGAUCCCUGGCCUGGAAAUUCCAUAUGCUGCCACAGGGCAACAAAAAAAAAAAAAAAAAAAAAAAAAAA
rnacentral:tRNA from 1 species